GGCUCCAUUUCUCAGUGAUUAGAGCAUUGGUCUAGGAAACCAGGGGUCGUGAGUUCGAUUCUCACUGGAGCCU